rnacentral:rRNA from 1 species
UACGGGGGGGGCGAGCGUUGUUCGGAAUUAUUGGGCGUAAAGGGCGCGUAGGCGGUGUGGCAAGUCAGGUGUGAAAGCUCCAAGCUCAACUUGGAGAUUGCAUCUGAAACUGCCGCGCUAGAGUGCGGGAGAGGAGAGUGGAAUUCCUGGUGUAGCGGUGAAAUGCGUAGAUAUCAGGAGGAACACCGGUGGCGAAGGCGGCUCUCUGGACCACAACUGACGCUGAGGCGCGAAAGCUAGGGGAGCAAACAGG